CAGGUCUGCUUGAAAUCUGUCU
rnacentral:miRNA from 1 species